CUCUCUCGACUAUCUUACUCUCAAUUCUCUCUCAACUCAACUUUCUUCAGCUCCUUCUUCGUCAAAUUCCAAUCCCGCGAUGUUGCAGACGCAGAACCAAUUAAUCCCGGAAGAAAGUGCGGUUGCUCUGGGAUUUGAAACUAGCGGUGGUGAAACUGCUGCUGUUGUGAACAGAAAUGGUGAAAUAAUGUGCGUCUUGCUAAAUAUGCCUUGAAUUGUUGAAUUCAGGUGAACAGAAAUGUUGAAUUCAGGUAUUAUAUCUAUAUAUAAUGUGCGUCUUGCUAAAUAGGGAGGAGUUGGUUCUAAAAUGGCUGAAGAAGCACAUUCACAGGCUGUUGUUCUGGUAUGCAAUCCACUUUACUUAGUCACUAUGAAUGUUUAAGCGGAGAGUUUUAGAAAGUGCUUUAAUGUAAUGACUAUGAAUUUGGAAUAGUUUGAAUUAAGUUAGGAGGAGAUGUUCCAAGUCCAUGAUUACAAAGGAGAGAACGUUGUGAUAGAGUACAAAUAUAGAUUCUAAAAGAUCUCAUAACUUAAGGACUGA